GAGUUUGAUCUUGGCUCAGAUUGAACGCUGGCGGCAGGCCUAACACAUGCAAGUCGAGCGGGUAGAGAGAAGCUUGCUUCUCUUGAGAGCGGCGGACGGGUGAGUAAUGCCUAGGAAUCUGCCUGGUAGUGGGGGAUAACGGCUCGGAAACGGACGCUAAUACCGCAUACGUCCUACGGGAGAAAGCAGGGGACCUUCGGGCCUUGCGCUAUCAGAUGAGCCUAGGUCGGAUUAGCUAGUUGGUGAGGUAAUGGCUCACCAAGGCGACGAUCCGUAACUGGUCUGAGAGGGAUGAUCAGUCACACUGGAACUGAGACACGGUCCAGACUCCUACGGGAGGCAGCAGUGGGGAAUAUUGGACAAUGGGCGAAAGCCUGAUCC
rnacentral:rRNA from 1 species